rnacentral:antisense_RNA from 1 species
CUUUAUGGUGGGUUGGGUGAGGCAGCCGAAAGGCUGGCCGGAAUCCUUUGGCCCGGUACUGCUAACCUCGCUCAAUCCGCCACCCAA